GUUGUGUGCACUCAAUUCAAUCUUGCAUCAGCCGUCACCUGUCUCCAGCGGGAACGAGCCGUAAGAUUCAGUGAAAGACAGCAGUUAUAUGAUCAUCUUUAUGUUCCUUUGAGUGUUUAAAGUUGUGUACAUCCAGAGAAAAAGACGUGUGCUGGAGAGGAGCUGAGUGUGUGUGUGAGUGAUUGACGGUUCUGCUUAAAGAUUUUAGAGCAAGAUGAGCUUGCCAUCUGUGAGUGCAGAGCCAAGGUGAAAGAUCUGGACUGCGGGCAGGCCAAUUCAGCACCCAGACUCUUCUACGAUGAAGCCAUGCUGUUGUAACAGCUGCAGUAUGUGGUUUUGCAUUGUUCUGCUGAAAUACACAAGGCCUUCCCUGAAAUAGACAUCAUCUGGAGGGGAGCAUAUGUUGCUCUAAAACCUUUAUAUACCUUUCAGCAUUCAUAGUGCCAUCCAAAACACGCAAGCUGCCCAUACCAUAUGCACUUAUGCAACCCCAUACCAUCAGAGAUGCUGGCUUUUGAACUGAACGCUGAUAACACGCUGGAAGGUCUCCCUCCUCUAUAGGCCGGAGGACACGGCAUCCCUGAUUUUCAACAAGAAGUUGUGUUUACCGACAGCGGUUUCUGGAAGUAUUCCUGGGCCCAUUUAGUAAUGUCAUUGACACAAUCAUGCCGAUGAGUGAUGCAGUGUCGUCUGAGGGCCCGAAGACCACGGGCAUCCAAUAAAGCACAGAGAUUUGUCCAGUUUCUCUGAAUCUUUUAAUGAUGUUAUGCACUGUAGAUGAUGAGAUUUACAAAGCCUUUGCAAUUUGACGUUGAGGAACAUUGUUUUCCACAAUCUUUUUACGCACUCUUUCACAGCUCUGCCCAUCUUUACUUCUGAGAGACUCUGCUUCUCUAAGACAUCCCUUUUAUAGCUAAUCAUGUUACAGACCUGAUAUCAAUUAACUUAAUUAGUUGCUAGAUGUUCUCCCAGCUGAAUCUUUUUAAAGUUUCUUGCUUUUUCAGCCAUUUGUUGCCCCCGUGCCAACUUUUUUGAGACCUGUAGCAGGCAUCAAAUUUGAAAUGAG